CAGGAUGAACGCUAGCGACAGGCCUAACACAUGCAAGUCGAGGGGCAGCACAAGGAGCAAUCUGAGGUGGCGACCGGCGCACGGGUGAGUAACACGUAUGCAACCUGCCUGUAAGCGGGGAAUAACCCGUUGAAAGACGGACUAAUACCGCAUAAUACUAAAUUACUGCAUGGUAAUUUAUUUAAACAUUUAUGGCUUACAGAUGGGCAUGCGCAUGAUUAGCUAGUUGGAGAGGUAACGGCUCCCCAAGGCAACGAUCAUUAGGGGUUCUGAGAGGAAGGUCCCCCACACUGGUACUGAGACACGGACCAGACUCCUACGGGAGGCAGCAGUGAGGAAUAUUGGUCAAUGGACGAGAGUCUGAACCAGCCAAGUCGCGUGCAGGAAGAAUGUCCUAUGGAUUGUAAACUGCUUUUGCAGGGGAAUAAAGUGCAUCACGUGUGAUGUUUUGUAUGUACUCUGCGAAUAAGGAUCGGCUAACUCCGUGCCAGCCGCGGC
rnacentral:rRNA from 1 species